AGAAUGAACGUUGGCGGCGUGGAUUAGGCAUGCGAGUCGUACGAGAACCCGCAAGGGGGAAAGUGGCGAACGGGGUAGUAAUGCGUAGGUGACGUGCCCUGCGGUCGGGGAUAGCUUAGGGAAACUUAAGGUAAUACCCGAUAAUCCCAUCAGGUUUGAAUACUAGAUGGGCAAAGGUGUGAUUCCACCACAGGAGCGGCUUGCGUGGUAUUAGCUAGUUGGUGAGGUAACGGCUCACCGAAGGUCUUCGAUGCCGUAGGGGAUGUUAGCGCAUCGACUCCCCCACACGUGGGACUGAGAUACUCGCCCAGACCACCGUACGGGUGCUGCAGUCGAGAAUCGUCGA
rnacentral:rRNA from 1 species